rnacentral:rRNA from 4 species
UACAAAAUGACUCUCGGCAACGGAUAUCUCGGCUCUUGCAUCGAUGAAGAACGUAGCGAAAUGCGAUACUUGGUGUGAAUUGCAGAAUCCCGUGAACCAUCGAGUCUUUGAACGCAAGUUGCGCCCGAAGCCAUUAGGCCGAGGGCACGCCUGCCUGGGUGUCACA